rnacentral:rRNA from 1 species
CACGUAGGGUGCGAGCGUUGUCCGGAAUUAUUGGGCGUAAAGAGCUCGUAGGCGGUGUGUCGCGUCGGCCGUGAAAACCUGCAGCUUAACUGUGGGCUUGCGGUCGAUACGGGCAUCACUGGAGUUCGGCAGGGGAGACUGGAAUUCCAGGUGUAGCGGUGAAAUGCGUAGAUAUCUGGAGGAACACCGGUGGCGAAGGCGG